rnacentral:rRNA from 1 species
GAUGAACGCUGGCGGCGUGCCUAACACAUGCAAGUCGAACGGAGUCGUUUUGGAAAUCUCUUCGGAGAUGGAAUUCUCGACUUAGUGGCGGACGGGUGAGUAACGCGUGAGCAAUCUGCCUUUAAGAGGGGGAUAACAGUCGGAAACGGCUGCUAAUACCGCAUAAAGCAUUAAAUUCGCAUGUUUUUGAUGCCAAAGGAGCAAUCCGCUUUUAGAUGAGCUCGCGUCUGAUUAGCUAGUUGGCGGGGUAACGGCCCACCAAGGCGACGAUCAGUAGCCGGACUGAGCGGUUGAACGGCCACAUUGGGACUGAGACACGGCCCAGACUCCUACGGGAGGCAGCAGGGGGGAAUAUUGCGCAAGGGGGGAACCCCUGACGCAGCAACGCCGCGUGAUGGAAGAAGGCCUUCGGGUUGUAAAGAUCUUUAAUCAGGGACGAAACAAAUGACGGUACCUGAAGAAUAAGCCCCGGCUAACUACGUG